AAGCUCUGGUGGAUAGGGGUAGGUCUGCUCAUUCACUGCUGCCUUCCCUGCACCUGGUAUCAUGCACACAGAAUAAGCCUCGCAGAAUGCCUGUGGAUGGACUGACCAAUGAAAGUAAUGAGGUGCUGGGACCCGAAGGCUGAGUGGCAUGAGUCAUGAGGAGGCGUAGGUGGAGUUGGAGGUGGGAGGAGGAUGAUGUAGCAAAGAAGUGGGGGCAGCUAAAGAGUUGACAGAUUCUGAAGCUACCUAGCCGUGUGACCUUGGCCAAGGCCAGGCGGGUUCAGGCAUGUUCCUGGCGGAAGGUGCUCUGAUGCUGCAGAAGACAGUUUCUUCAUGGAUUCCAACUGCUUGAUUUGUGGGAAUGACUCAACCAUGCCUGUUCUCCCCCACCUUUGAUGAGGCACCUGACACUGAGUUAAUUCAUUUGCAUGGUGUAGACUAUAGUAAAUCCAGUGUUGGGAUACUGUGUCAUCUUCUUUCUGAUUAUGAUGGUAACAAACGCUUGCCAUAAUCUCACCUUCAGCUCUGGGAAGAAAGCCCAUUAAGCAACCUCAAGGCAGUAAAGAAGGCAGGAAGAGACAGGAAUGGUCAGAGUAUAUUGAAAAACGUUCCUCAGUCAGUCUCCCAAAUGUUCGGUGUAUGCUGGAAUCACCUGGGGUUCUCUGUACCGAUGCCGCCUGGAAGACCAGGGGAUCUCAGGUGGUGAUCAGGAAUCUGCAUUUCACCAGCCCCUGUCCCCACCCCAUCCCCAGGGCAUGCUUUUGGAAAUCUGCUCACAACGUGUCCCUCCCCCUCCUUCCUGCUUUUAUUAACUAGAUGUUAAAAUGCUUGGAGUCACACUCAGGAGUGUGUG
rnacentral:lncRNA from 1 species